rnacentral:rRNA from 1 species
UACGUAGGGGGCAAGCGUUGUCCGGAUUUAUUGGGCGUAAAGAGCGUGUAGGCGGCCAAGCAGGUCCGCUGUGAAAACUCGAGGCUCAACCUCGAGACGUCGGUGGAAACCGUUUGGCUAGAGUCCGGAAGAGGAGAGUGGAAUUCCCGGUGUAGCGGUGAAAUGCGCAGAUAUCGGGAGGAACACCAGUGGCGAAGGCGAUCUUCUGGACGGAUACUGACGCUGAGGCGCGAAAGCUAGGGGAGCAAACGGG